GUACUGAUCUUAACGGACUGUCAAUGCCCAAUUGGCAAUCCUAUGAUCAGGAACAUUUAGGAUGUGUAUACGAAAGAAUGGUCUCAUAAAUCUAACUUCUUUAGAUCAUAUUCUCCCAAUCACAUACUCCUUGGACUUUAUCGUUUAAGCAUAUAACAUUUAUAUGAGACGGCUCAAACAAUAAUCUUUGCCCUUGAUAUUAAACUAGAUUAGUUUAACAUGUGAAAUGUCCGUAAAGUAUCAUCAUAUGAUUGGUUUUAGGGCACAUUUCCAACAGAAAUCUUAUGGGUGAAAGGGACAAGAAAUGUGCAGCAAUUGAGUGCAAUGAUUCAAUAUUUCGAUGCAUGAAAUCAGAAAUAAUGAAGGAGACAAGGGUGGUGCACGACAUGGGUGGAUAAUGAGUGUAAUGGUGCAUGAAAUGAGUGCAAGAAAUUUGGUGCAUGAAGGGGACAAGGGUGAUUAUGAAGGGAAAAUUAUGAGAUUCUAGAAUGAGAUUUCAUAAUGACUAUCAUGCAUAUUCAAAUCAAAUUUAAUAUACGAAAGCAGCGGAAGCAUUUAUAACAUAUUAUCAAAGCUAUAGUCAUGCAAAUCCCCUUCAAGGUUCAUAGGUUUAUAUAUAAUGCAUCAAAACAUUUUAAAGAAUCAAGAACAAAGUGAAGGUUAGUCUUAUACCUCUUGAUCUAGACUUGAGACCAAGGAUGGACCACCUCCAAGCCCUUUGCUCCUUGAAAUCCUUGAGCCUAGCUUCCCUCCUUGCCUCCUCCACUUUGUUACAAUGAGUGCUCCUAGGUUCUCUUCAAGUUCCCAAAGUAGGAAACCUCUAAAGAUCCUCACCCACAAGUGUAGUGAGAAGGAUGAAGGAAUAACCAAAAGAGUGAAAGAUUGUUAGCUAAAUCACCCUCUUUGGUGGCCGGCCUUUGUGGUCUUAGAGAGCUAUUUUCUUUUGCCUCUUUGUUGUUCAAAAACUCACAAAAACCCUAAUGAACAAUAUCUUAUAAAGUUCCUUAUAUAGACAAAAGAAACCUAGUCAACACUUGACUAAAUAUCUCACCCUUUCCACCUUAAAGUGGCCGGCCUCUUUGUUGUUUGUUUGGGCUUUGGGCUUUUAUUAUUUCAAGUCAUCCAAUACUUGAAUAAAAGCCCAAUGGGUUUAGGCCCAAUGGGCCCAAUUAAACCCGAACGUUUCUUAAGCCCAAAACGAUCUUUAUCGCUUUUAUGAUUUCUUUAGACUUUCUAAAUUAAUCACAACAAUUAAUUAAUCCAAUUAAUUAUUUCCAUCAUCCAUUAGUUACUCACUACAAUAGUGUUUUGGUGAACAAUCUUUUAGGUUCUAAUUAGCAAGGCAGUGAGGUGAUUGGCAUCAAUCCAAUUGCUUAUGUUUAAUUCAAUCACUUAGUGAAUUAAAACUUCAUUUUAAUUCACCUUUCUUCUUUGAUGACUACAUUUAAUCAUCUAGAAGAACUCACAAGCUAUGAGUGACAUCUAACCAUAUGUCAUAGCUACCCAAGCUAAUGUAGAAGUUUAUUCGAAGAACCUAGUCAGUUGGAAUUACAAUGUAAUUCAAUCCUUCUCUAAUACAAUACUCUCAAUCACAUCAAUAGGGUAUGGAUAUAUCAUGUCAAACCCCUAAUGUGAUUAUUCCUUCAUAUAUGAUUCAUUUGAGUCUUAUAGGAACGCUUUCCAUUCAAUACGCUCGAUACUUCGACCGAAGAUUCCCGAAUCAUAUCUUAGAGUAUUCUUCCUCUCUUACCGAGGAUUAGAGAUUUCUUGUUGCGCAUACACUUGCCUUCAUGACUAAGUGGCUUAACCCUAAUUAUGCCGUGGACACCCUCGAAUGGGGAGACUUUGACAUAAUCAAAGAUUAAGUACUUAACCACAAGA
rnacentral:lncRNA from 1 species